rnacentral:rRNA from 1 species
UAGGGAAUCUUCGGCAAUGGGGGGAACCCUGACCGAGCAACGCCGCGUGAGUGAAGAAGGUUUUCGGAUCGUAAAGCUCUGUUGUUAAGGAAGAACGAGUGUGAGAAUGGAAAGUUCAUGCUGUGACGGUACUUAACCAGAAAGGGACGGCUAACUACGUGCCAGCAGCCGCGGUAAUACGUAGGUCCCGAGCGUUGUCCGGAUUUAUUGGGCGUAAAGCGAGCGCAGGCGGUUAGAAAAGUCUGAAGUGAAAGGCAGUGGCUCAACCAUUGUAGGCUUUGGAAACUGUUUAACUUGGGUGCAGGAGGGGAGGGUGGAAUUCCAUGUGUAGCGGUGAAAUGCGUAGUUAAAUGGGGGAACACCGGUGGCGGAAGCGGCUCUCUGGUCUGUAACUGACGCUGAGGCUCGAAAGCGUGGGGAGCGAACAGG